UACGUAGGGUGCGAGCGUUAAUCGGAAUUACUGGGCGUAAAGCGUGCGCAGGCGGUUGUGCAAGACAGAGGUGAAAUCCCCGGGCUUAACCUGGGAAUGGCCUUUGUGACUGCACGGCUAGAGUGUGUCAGAGGGAGGUAGAAUUCCACGUGUAGCAGUGAAAUGCGUAGAUAUGUGGAGGAAUACCGAUGGCGAAGGCAGCCCCCUGGGAUAACACUGACGCUCAUGCACGAAAGCGUGGGGAGCAAACAGG
rnacentral:rRNA from 1 species